rnacentral:rRNA from 1 species
GACAAACGCUGGCGGAAUGUAUUAGGCAUGCAAGUCGUACGAACCUUCGGGUUAGUGGCGAACGGGUGAGUAACACGUGGGUAACCUGCCUCGUAGUGGGGAAUAACUCGCCGAAAGGCGAGCUAAUACCGCAUAACACCCCCGGUGAGAAUCCGGGUGGUAAAAGCUCCGGCGCUACGAGAGGGGCCCGCGGCCGAUUAGCUAGUUGGUGGGGUAAUAGCCUACCAAGGCGACGAUCGGUAGCUGGUCUGAGAGGAUGGUCAGCCACACGGGGACUGAGAUACGGCCCCGACUCCUACGGGAGGCAGCAGCUAAGAAUCUUGCGCAAUGGGCGAAAGCCUGACGCAGCAAUUCCGCGUGGGGGACGAAGGCCCUCGGGUCGUAAACCCCUUUUGUGAGGGAAGAAGUUCUGACGGUACCUCACGAAUAAGACACGGCUAACUACGUG